UAAUCUUUAUUCUGGGAUCAUGUCUAUAAUGUUUGACUUGAGGAAUGUGAUUCCAAAGUGUACGUGUCACUAACCACAAUGAUGAAGCUUGAUAUUCCUUUCUGAGCAGGAGGCAGAUUGGGAAUGAUUAUGUUGUAUGUUCUCUUUCACUGAUGAUUGCUCCUUGAUUCCUUGUGAGGCACUGAGGAAGGGGAUGUGAUCAGAGUGGU